rnacentral:rRNA from 1 species
GAGUAACACGUACUUAACAUGCCCCUCUAGAUUGGAAUAACGAUUAGAAAUGAUCGCUAAUGCCGGAUACUUAUAUCUUUCGCAUGAAGGAUAUAUAAAAGGAGCGUUUGCUUCGCUAGAGGAUUGGGGUGCGUAACAUUAGCUAGUUGGUAGGGUAAUGGCCUACCAAGGCUAUGAUGUUUAGCGGGGUUGAGAGACUGAUCCGCCACACUGGGACUGAGAUACGGCCCAGACUCCUACGGGAGGCAGCAGUAGGGAAUUUUCCACAAUGGACGAAAGUCUGAUGGAGCGACACAGCGUGCAGGAUGACGGCCUUCGGGUUGUAAACUGCUGUUAUAAGGGAAGAAAAAAUAAAGUAGGAAAUGACUUUAUCUUGACGGUACCUUGUCAGAAAGCAACGGCUAACUAUGUGCCAGCAGCCGCGGUAAUACAUAGGUUGCAAGCGUUAUCCGGAAUUAUUGGGCGUAAAGCGUCUGUAGGUUGUUUGUUAAGUCUGACGUGAAAACUUGGGGCUCAACCCCAAAUUGCGUUGGAUACUGGCAAACUAGAGUUAUGAAGAGGUUAGCGGAAUUCCUUGUGAAGCGGUGAAAUGCGUAGAUAUAAGGAAGAACACCAACUUGGCGAAGGCAGCUAACUGGGCAUACACUGACACUGAGAGACGAAAGCGUGGGGAGCAAACAGGAUUAGAUACCCUGGUAGUCCACGCUGUAAACGAUGAUGAUUAGCUGAUGGGGAACUCAUCGGCACAGCUAACGCAUUAAAUCAUCCGCCUGAGUAGUAUGCUCGCAAGAGUGAAACUUAAAGGAAUUGACGGGGAUCCGCACAAGUCUGGUGGAACAUGUGGUUUAAUUUGACGAUACGCGUAGAACCUUACAGCGCUGCUGUGCACGACAUUCGAAUUAC